AUCCAGCUGACGAGUCCCAAGUAGGACGAAUCGCGCGUCCUGGAU
rfam:Schistosoma rodhaini strain Burundi genome assembly, scaffold: SROB_scaffold0012515